AACGCCGAUUGUGAGGUAAGACACUGAGGAAUAAAAAGACCUGGCUCACAAAGUAAUUUAUUGGGUGAAUUGACUAAAAUUCCCAGAGAUAUAAUCCAAAAUCUCACAGAAAGCUUUCCUAGAUGAGUGGUUGCUGUUAUAGGAGCAAUAAGCAGCCAGCUCUAUACUUCUGGCCAUGGUUUACGAAUAGGAUGUCUAACAAACAAGUUUACAUAGGUGUGAUGGGCAGGGGUCUAAUUAACUUUGGUCACAUAGUGUAUUUAUAAUGUUUAAAUGCUCCUAUACAUCUAGAAAUGACUGUCUAGGGCGAAGAGACAGGUACAGACUGUAAAUAAAGAGUAAGGAAACAUGAGAAGAGAGACUACAGGGAUUGGAAAGCGGACAUCAACAAGAACUUAAUUGCUUCCAUAUAGGUCCAUUGGCACUGCCAGGUGAGAAAUCCCACAACAAUGCACGGAGCAAAGUGUAUUCGUAAAUAGAGUGCAAAGGCAAGGAGCCCUACGGGAAAUCACCUGGUAUAGCAUGAUUCCCAAAAAGAUGCAGACUGGUCUCUUUAACAUGAAAGGUAAGGCAUUUAGUAAUCGAGUCCGACAAUAAAUAACGAAUUGGUAAAUAAUGGAGCAGAAACCUUUCUUUCUGAGACAUUAAUGAAUUGUCUUCGUGCUUGGAAAUGUAACUGUCCUUUUCCAACAGGAGGGUAGAUUAAACUCAGAGCAUCCCAUAAUCACCCCACUUAGGCAGAGAGACAGGACUGAACAAGGCUCUCCAGAUUUCCUCAGGCCCCC